UACCCGCUGAGUUUAAGCAUAUCAAUAA
rnacentral:rRNA from 1 species